rnacentral:rRNA from 1 species
UACGAAGGGUGCAAGCGUUAAUCGGAAUUACUGGGCGUAAAGCGCGCGUAGGUGGUUCAGCAAGUUGGAUGUGAAAGCCCUGGGCUCAACCUGGGAACUGCAUCCAAAACUACUGAGCUAGAGUACGGUAGAGGGUAGUGGAAUUUCCUGUGUAGCGGUGAAAUGCGUAGAUAUUGGGAGGAACGUCGGUGGCGAAGGCGGCUCUCUGGACCGGUUCUGACGCUGAGGCGCGAAAGCGUGGGUAGCAAACAGGAUUAGAAACCCUAGUAGU